UGGGGAAUAUUGCACAAUGGGCGCAAGCCUGAUGCAGCCAUGCCGCGUGUAUGAAGAAGGCCUUCGGGUUGUAAAGUACUUUCAGUCGGGAGGAAGGUGUCAAGGUUAAUAACCUUGGCAAUUGACGUUACCGACAGAAGAAGCACCGGCUAACUCCGUGCCAGCAGCCGCGGUAAUACGGAGGGUGCAAGCGUUAAUCGGAAUUACUUGGCGUAAAGCGCACGCAGGCGGUUGAUUGAGUCAGAUGUGAAAUCCCCGGGCUUAACCCGGGAAUUGCAUCUGAUACUGGUCAGCUAGAGUCUUGUAGAGGGGGGUAGAAUUCAAUGUGUAGCGGUGAAAUGCGUAGAGAUGUGGAGGAAUACCGGUGGCGAAGGCGGCCCCCUGGACAAAGACUGACGCUCAGGUGCGAAAGCGUGGGGAGCAAACAGG
rnacentral:rRNA from 1 species